ACCAGAGGGGAAUCCCACACCACAUCGUGCCAUGGUCAGCACAUAAAGCUGGGGAAGAGGAGGAAGUGGAGCACAUUCAGAGUGAUGGUUGUUUGUGUUCUUAAGUCAUCAUUCAUGUGAUGUAGCUCAGCUUUCAUGGGGAUGGCUGGAUACUGAACUGCCCAUGGGAAGUGGAGAAUGGAUUCCUUGCUCUGCAUUGAUGGAUGAGACAGCAGUUUUGUGGGGGAUUGCCUCUGCAGGACAGUGCUGGUGUGAGCUGUCCCUCUCCCCAUGGCAUGAGGAUGGGUAAGCCAUUGCACAUACAUGGGGACUGGAGACUUACCCCUGAAAACAGGUGCUGGGACAGCAUAAGGAAUAUGUAUUAUUUGUACUUGACCUGUUCUUACUCCUUAUGGCCACUACUGAAUGAAGACAGACAAGCAGGCUGGAGGAACCCUUGCUCUGACCUACCAUUGCUGCUUGUAGUCAGCUGUGAUCUCAGUCUCACUCCAGGAACGCCUAAUGGAUCACCCCACUGAGGGAAACAGUCUGAGUCACACAUAAUUUCCACAUUCUUAACCUGUCUAUUUGGCAUGAUGGAAGAGCUUCUGGGCUGGGAGCAGAGGACAAAGCCUGCAGUGUCCCAGGAGGUUCAGUCUAGGCACCUCUAGAGUUCAUGGGCAACAGGACUUUGGUUUUGAGGAUCACAGCUUUGGAACUAAGCCUUUAACAUCUUCCUUGUCUUGCACACUUCCUGUAAGCAUGAAUGACAGUGUUAUUUCUAUUUUAUAUGAGAGGGAACACAUAGAAGCAGUGGAUGACCUCCUCUCUUGUACCAAAGGCUUCCUUCUUCCCUAAAACUG